rnacentral:rRNA from 1 species
GACGAACGCUGGCGGCGUGCUUAACACAUGCAAGUCGAACGGAAAGGCCUCUUUCGGGGGGUACUCGAGUGGCGAACGGGUGAGUAACACGUGAGUAACCUGCCCUUGACUUUGGGAUAACUUCAGUAAACUGGGGCUAAUACCGGAUAGGAGCUCCUGCUGCAUGGUGGGGGUUGGAAAGUUUCGGCGGUUGGGGAUGGACUCGCGGCUUAUCAGCUUGUUGGUGGGGUAGUGGCUUACCAAGGCUUUGACGGGUAGCCGGCCUGAGAGGGUGAGCGGCCACAUUGGGACUGAGAUACGGCCCAGACUCCUACGGGAGGCAGCAGUGGGGAAUAUUGCACAAUGGGUGGAAGCCUGAUGCAGCAGCGCCGUGUGCGGGAUGACGGCCUUCGGGUUGUAAACCGCAUUCGCUCAUGACGAAGCUUUGUGUGACGGUAGUGGGUAAAGAAGCACCGGCUAACUACGUG